CUCUGUACCACCUUGGGCUGUGAUUCUGUCAAAUCUCACAAGCUAAACUAGGUUGGACUGGCUCAGUGUCUAAUGGGAGACCUCCCAGAAAUCUCAAGUGCUGCAGAAA
rnacentral:rRNA from 1 species